rnacentral:rRNA from 1 species
CCUACGGGAGGCUGCAGUGGGGAAUAUUGGACAAUGGGGGCAACCCUGAUCCAGCCAUGCCGCGUGUGUGAAGAAGGCCCUCGGGUUGUAAAGCACUUUCAGUGAGGAAGAACGCCUGGUGGUUAAUACCCAUCAGGAAAGACAUCACUCACAGAAGAAGCACCGGCUAACUCCGUGCCAGCAGCCGCGGUAAUACGGAGGGUGCGAGCGUUAAUCGGAAUUACUGGGCGUAAAGCGCGCGUAGGUGGCUUGAUAAGCCGGUUGUGAAAGCCCCGGGCUCAACCUGGGAACGGCAUCCGGAACUGUCAAGCUAGAGUGCAGGAGAGGAAGGUAGAAUUCCCGGUGUAGCGGUGAAAUGCGUAGAGAUCGGGAGGAAUACCAGUGGCGAAGGCGGCCUUCUGGACUGACACUGACACUGAGGUGCGAAAGUGUGGGUAGCAAACAGGAUUAGAUACCCGAGUAGUC